GCCGUAGCUCAGUGGCAGAGCGUAGGCUUUGAAUGCAGAAGGCCCAGGGUUCAAUCCCCAUCACCUCCA